rnacentral:rRNA from 1 species
UGGCGAAUACUGCACAAGUGGGAGCGAUGCCUGAUGCAGCGACGCUGCGUGAGGGAUGAAGCCCUCGGGUUGUAACCUCUUUCAGCAGGGAAGAAGCGCAAGUGACGGUACCUGCAGUAUGAAGAGCUGGCUAACUACGUCCAGCAGUCGCGGUAAUACGUAGGGCGCAAGCGUUGUCCGGAAUUAUUGGGCGUAAAGAGCUCGUAGGCGGUUUGUCGCGUCUGCUGUGAAAACUCGAGGCUCAACCUCGGGCUUGCAGUGGGUACGGGCAGACUAGAGUGCGGUAGGGGAGACUGGAAUUCCUGGUGUAGCGGUGGAAUGCGCAGAUAUCAGGAGGAACAUCGAUGGCGAAGGCAGGUCUCUGGGCCGCAACUGACGCUGAGGAGCGAAAGCAUGGGGAGCGAACAGGAUUAGAUACCCUGGUAGUCCAUGCCGUAAACGUUGGGCACUAGGUGUGGGGCUCAUUCCACGAGUUCCGUGCCGCAGCAAACGCAUUAAGUGCCCCGCCUGGGGAGUACGGCCGCAAGGCUAAAACUCAAAGAAAUUGACGGGGGCCCGCACAAGCGGCGGAGCAUGCGGAUUAAUUCGAUGCAACGCGAAGAACCUUACCAAGGCUUGACAUACACCGGAAACUUCCAGAGAUGGUUGCCCCGCAAGGUCGGUGUACAGGUGGUGCAUGGUUGUCGUCAGCUCGUGUCGUGAGAUGUUGGGUUAAGUCCCGCAACGAGCGCAACCCUCGUCCUAUGUUGCCAGCGGGUCAUGCCGGGGACUCAUAGGAGACUGCCGGGGUCAACUCGGAGGAAGG